rnacentral:lncRNA from 1 species
GUCUGAAACCUGGCCAUCCAACACAGAAGAUAAGUGGAUAAUCCUAGUUAGGAAAGCAUGUGUCAUGUUUCAGCCUCUGCUGCUUUGUCACACUCCCCAGAACAGGCAUUCCUAGGCUCAAGCCAUCUUCCAUGGUCACCAGCCCACUUACGAGCUGACUAAAUGUGUCAUGGUAGACCUUAGCGAGAAGAAUGACUGAUAGUGGUCAUGUGAAUUAGAUGCUUCGUAUUAUUUAGCAGAGAGGAGCAAGGGGCAGAUCGAUGGCUGUGCAGGGAAGACCUGGAUACUUAGAAUCAGAGGUUGGAAAGAAGAGCAGGGUUCCCUUAAGCUGGCCUGUUACUUCCACAGCUAUCUCCCUCAACACAGAGAAAUAAGCAUCAUAAAAUGAAUGUGAAAUGUGAUUGUAUUAGGCCAAAUGUGACCAAUGAAACAAAUUAAAUUAUCACGAAUUAGACCGUUGAAUUGGCCAUGCCUGUAAAAGCAAGAUUCAUCUCUGAAGGAGACUUGGCAUAUGAGCUUUUUCUUUGUUUGAGAGGAGCUUCUGGCUUAUUUCAGUCCUUGGGAAAGAUAAUAGAGAUUUCUGUGGUUAUCAGUGAAGAAGUGAUUCCAUGAUCAGCCAAUAGAAACGUGAAUGCAGGAAAGCAGAGCCAUACCAGAUCAAUGGGGGAGACGGUGGCUGUAAGAGAGGACACAAGUCCCUUUCUCAGAGGGCCAUCCUGCACCAGAAUUGUACUCCAUCAUAAUUAUUUCAUAUUUUAAUUCUCUGAAUAUCAAUAAAACAAUAAAGGAGUAUCUAAAUGAGGGAUGGAUCCUCCCAGGGAAACAAGGUCCACAUGAGUCUUGGUUAGGUUGAAGUAGUUCAUGUUGUAAGUCAUGAUUGUCAAAGCAAAUCCUUAUAAUAUUGAAGACAUGGAAUCUAUGAUUCAUCAAAUAUAUAUCAUCAAAUAUAUAUGGAAAUUGGAGGGUAAUUAACAUACAUUUUAACAUUGGUGAUCUCUGAGUUCACCAUAUGAAUAAUUAAAGACUGGAUGUGGCUGACACAGAAAAGAACGAGAUGAAGCAAUUAUAUUAUAUCAUUUAAGUACUGAUUUGUGAAUAUGAGAUAAACAGAUAUUGGAGGUCAAGGACAUUGAGUACUUUACUGACAAGUUAUAGAUACAGCCCAACACAUACAGGCUAUAGUUUGUGAAUCUUUGGUUCAUGGACAUGUGUUUACAUAAAGUUAUCACAGGAAAUUGAGUUGUUUGAAUUGAAGUUAGGUGGCUAAAAUGAGGUUCCAAAGGUAAAUAAGAAUGGUAGCAAAUGCUAGAGAAGUCACUUGAUAGUAAUACUCCUCAAAAUAAAGUUAGUGCAGAACGUCUGGCUGGAAUGGGGUAUCCUAGAUGACUUGAUAAUCUCCUUGUAUUGGAGGGAACGUAACCCCACGCCCUUAGAGAGAAAGCCAGGUUUUCCUUUCAAAUGUAGGAAUCGUGGGACAAUCUUGAGAGCAAGUCUUUAGAUUUUUACUUCUUUCUCUGCCUUCUACCAUCCAUGGAGAAGACCCAAGUGAUCUCAAAGGUUUGCAGUGACGGACAGUUCCUGGGAUGCCAUAGCAACAAUUCAGAGCUCAUGGUGACUUGACAUCUUCGGCUUUGAUCCUUCGGUUGGAACCUGCUGAUAGAAAAGCUGACUUAACUGAUGGCACAAGUGUACUCUGAACCAGAACCCACUUCGGUCUUCACCGUGACAGCCUGAGCCCUGCUGACUGAGAGGCGGCAUUUUGAUCUUCCUCACUUAAGAGAGCUGACCCAAGUGAUAUGAGAAGUUUGCUGUGAUGGACAGUUUCUGGGUGCUUUGCCAACAAUCCAGAGUACAUGGUGACAUGUCAACUCCAGCUGUGAUCCUCCUGUGUGGCACUGACUUACAGAAAUGGCGACCCAACAGAUGGUACCAGCAUGCUGAGAUAUAGAACCACCCUUGUAUCACCACUGUGACAUCUCAGAGCUUUGCCGACCAAGAGGCAACAUCUUGAUCUUCCUUGCCCACCAGCUUGCAGGAAGGUGACUCUAGUGAUGGUAGAGUUAUGGAUAAUGGACAAUUCCUGGGAUGCCAUGGCAACAGUCCACAGCCCAUGGUGACUUGUCAACUCCAGCUCUGUUCCUUCUGUGCGCACCUGCUUAUAGAAAGGCUGACCUGGUGAUGGUGAACCACCACCCCAAGUCUGCAUGUCACAAAUCAGCAUCUCUCUCUCCUAUGGAGUCUGGUUCUAGGUCUUGACAGAGGCUGAUUGACUGAUGUCAUUGCAAAAGUUUCCUGUCAUAGAGAGUUCCUCUGAUGUCCCUUCAGCACCACUACAACUGCUGACUGCAGGAUUUCCUAUGUUUAAUGACUGCCUCAAGAAUGUGUGCUCCUAGGCUGAUGUCUGCAUUUUCUAUGAUCAGCAGUGGAACAUUUGCACCUCUGCAUUGAACAUGGGGCAGUGUGGACCAUCUAAUUAGAGGACCCUCCAAUGGUCAAGCACUCUAUUUGCACCAGCUUGAGGAGACGAACAAGACCAGUAAUGGACUUUCCCAAGGUAUCUAUUCACCUCCAAUGGCUUCCAGCCCUUCAGUUGCUCGUGAUGAUGUGAGAUCUGCCCAAACUUCUCCUCAUAGUUUUGAUGGUUUGAUGAAGGUGUUUGCUGCCUGGAGGAGGUCUCCAUGUCUAGGAUCUCCGCUGAUGUCAUGGGUGGUGCUGGGCUGACCAGUGUGAGUAGUGCCUUGGACUCUUUCUCCACGUUUGGUGGUUUGCUUAGCAGAACUCAGUGUGUCACUGAGAACUGUAACAUGGCAUUUAGAAUGAGUGUUUCAUACCAGGGAGUGCCACAGACAUGAAUGGAAGUUGUCAAAUUAUUAAUAAAACAUUGAGGAUGGUUAAUUAAGGCUAGAACACUUCCACACUGAUUAGGAAUAAGAUUUUUAGGGUUGUUGGAAUAAUAGGUGCUCAAAUUAUUAUUAGCUGAUCGUUGAACUAAUUAUCAGACAAUAGGAAAGGACUGCUUGGAAAGAGAAAGGAGCAGCCAUGACUGAUCCUGAGCACUGUUGACAUAUGAGUCACAUGGAUAACUACAUGUCUGGAACUUUGAGAUCUACUAAAGAAGUAAUAUAAUCCUCUGUCUUCAUUUCAAGUGUUCCUGUAGAAAGACUACCAGCCCGGAUAAUCUGUUCAUUUCGCCCCACCCUCCCUUGUUAUAAAUUCUAUUUUGUUUUUAUAAUUAUAUCAAUGUGAGAAUCAAGCAAUCAGUCUCAAAAAUAAGUGAAAAUGAAAUGGGUAAAUCAUUGCCUGAGCCAAGAAAUAGAUUAGUAUGUACAGAAUAUUAUGCCACCUUAAAAUUUUUUUCUUGCCGCUGAUGACCUGAAGCAUGUAAAUUACAAUGUCUGCAUUCUGAGAGAGUUUGAAAAUUCCUUGUUUUUAAGCCACAAGAACAUUAAAUAUGCUCCAAAAAUGGUGGGCCUAGUGGCCAGUGGUAGGUGAGAAGUGAAACCUGUUAAAGGGAAAGACUUGAUUUCUUGUUCAGUCAUCCCUAGAAUGGACGCACUGUCUGACAGGGGCAUCCUCCAUGAUUGGGGUCUCCUGUUUCUGCUGGACUGAUUCUGAAUAGUUUUGCUUAAGUUCAGAAAAAAAAAAAAAAGAUUCAAAAUUCUGUUUUGAAAGAUUUGCUUACGAUUACUCAGUGCCUUAUGCAGCUAGGAGGUUUCCAUCUUUAGUACCCGCCCUUUAUAGACAGAGGCCUCGAGAAGUAGAUCUCUGAGUUUAAGGACAGUCUGAGCUACAAACCAAGUUCCAGAACAGCCAGCGCUCCACACAGACAAAAAUAAUAUUCACAUGAUUAGUGAAGACCACCUGUAUCCCAGUGAUUGAUCACUGAUGGAUAUUGAGUCUUCUAUUGAUUGUACUUUUAUGAAAAUGUGAAUUAAUUACCAGCUAGUCUGAAGUUAUUCAUCUUCUUAUAAAAUUAAAGACUCCAACUGAGUCAAAAAGAUACAAAACUAGAAUGGAGAGUGAGCAGGUCUUCCGUCUCUCAUAUUCUGUCUGAUGUUUGUUUCCGAGUGAAGGAACGAUGUUACUGAAGAGUCUGCCAUGGUCAAGGGCUCUGUGCUUUCCCAAGAAGAAGUUCAUGUUGAAUAGUAGAGCAAUGGGAAGAGAGUUCCUUAUUCACACCUGGGGUUUAAGUACAGCGGAUGCAUGCAGCUCCUCUCAUCAUGGAUACUUCAGGAUGAAGGUCACAACACUCACUGCAUGGCUGGGCCAGUACAGACCUCAAUGAGUAAGAGACCAAGUUUCCUGCUUGCUCUUUCUGUUAAGCUGAUCACUGUCUACUUCAAAUUGGCAUUAUGUGUCAUAUAGUCAAAGAUAACUACACAUAUUCCAAUGCUUGGGGUGGGGGGUCCUGGAAAGCCACAGUCAGUCUGUGUGCAUAAAUGGGACCUAUACACUGUAGGUUUUGACUACAUUCUGGAAAUGAGAUUACAGACACUCUCUUAUGUGCAGGCAAAACCUUGUUCUUGUUAAGAAAAGGACAUAGAAUAAAGGGCUCACACAGCACCCAUCCUGGAAUUGUACCAUAAAAGAUUUAUUUUAACUAGGGUGAGGUAUUGUGCUCCACUAAUGGAGUCUACAGAAAAAAAUGUAGAAAACCAACUCCCCCUGUUGUGUUUGGCUGUAAAAUCUUUUCUGUUGAUUUAAUUUAAUUUUUGAAAAUGAGUGACUAAAUUAAUCAGGAAAAAUCUAUGCCCAGAAAUUGUAAAUGUUGGAGAUUAUCCCCAUGAGAUGAGAACGCUGGCCAUGAAAAUUAAGAUUUAUGGGCAACUCAAAUUUUUCCUCUUAAUCCCAUUUAACACAAAAAGAUUUAAUCUGUUGCCUUUGUAUGUAAGGAACCCUGCCCCAAACCACAUUAAAUACUCAUUCUUUUUCAUUUAUUUUGUACUUCGAUGAGUUUACAAAACUGUCCUUAUCAUUAUUUUUUAGUAAACCAAUCUUUUAAAAAGUAAGUUGGAAAUAGACCAGGUAAGGUCAAAAUUUAAAUAUUUUGCGAUAAGUAGUCCUUAGCCACUGAUGUCUACCGAAGGAACUUAGUCCCUCCUGCCUUUGUUUUACUAGAAUAAGGUGCACAUGGCCACUCUCUAAGGUGUAUUUAUAUUCUCCCAUG